rnacentral:rRNA from 1 species
CAAGGGCGUAUAUUAACGUUGUUGCAGUUAAAAAGCUCGUAGUUGGAUUUCUGGAGGGAGCGUCGGCCCGUAUUUACGAGUGCGUGACGUCUCUGUCCAUCCUUGCGGGAAGGCACGGCAUUGAUUUGUUGUGUCGGAUCGCAUCAUUUACUGUGAAAAAAUUAGAGUGUUCAAAGCAGGCUUUCGCUUGAAUACAUUAGCAUGGAAUAAUAAGAUAGGACUUUGGUGCUAUUUUGUUGGUUGAGCCUAAAGUAAUGAUUAAUAGGGAUAGUUGGGGGCACCUGUAUUGCGUUGUCAGAGGUGAAAUUCUUGGAUUUACGCAAGACAAACAGCUGCGAAAGCGUCUGCCAAGGAUGUUUUCAUUA